rnacentral:rRNA from 1 species
CCGGUGUCCCUCUUCGGAGCAAUGGAAACAGGUGGUGCAUGGUUGUCGUCAGCUCGUGUCGUGAGAUGUUGGGUUAAGUCCCGCAACGAGCGCAACCCUUAUCCUUAGUAGCCAGCGAGUAGAGUCGGGCACUCUGGGGAGACUGCCAGGGAUAACCUGGAGGAAGGUGGGGAUGACGUCAAAUCAUCAUGCCCCUUAUGAUUUGGGCUACACACGUGCUACAAUGGCGUAAACAAAGGGAGGCAAAGGAGCGAUCCGGAGCAAACCCCAAAAAUAACGUCUCAGUUCGGAUUGCAGGCUGCAACUCGCCUGCAUGAAGCUGGAAUCGCUAGUAAUCGCGAAUCAGAAUGUCGCGGUGAAUACGUUCCCGGGUCUUGUACACACCGA